CUGGACUCUCAGAGACAACACUGCAUCAGAACACUGAAGACUAUAGUUUUUUGGAACAAUUGAAUUUAAAGGUAUUAAGAUGAAAGCCACUAUUGCCUUCCUCCUUCUGGCCGUUGUUGCCUCUUUACACACAAGUGAUGCCUGGAGGGUACGUCUCCCAAGACUUGGUCUCCGUCGUAUCAUCGCACCAGUCUGCAGUAUGUACUGUAACCAAAAAUGCACCCUCCCAGGGAUCUGUGCUCCUGUCUGCCACAAAGUCUGCAAUAUUGGGCGUAAACGCCGAUCAGUUGCCAUUAAUGAUGACGAGAAGCCAUUUUCUUCUGAUCUCUCCAAAUAUGAUUCAGACAAUGACGACAGAGUGACCCUGACAGAGUUUGCUGAAGCCAUCUCAUCAACACCUGAAAAGUGCAUUGAAGCCUUUGGAAUGGCUGAUGAAAAUGAUGAUGGUAUAUUGGAUAUGGGUGAGUUCCUCCGUGGACCAUUCCACUUCACAUCUGGAGAAGUAGAACAAGAACAGGAUACACCAGAUAGGAUUGGAAAGUAUGCAGAUGAUGAUUAUUAAAUCCCAAAUGAAAUGUGGAAAGUGAUCUCAGAUGACGAUAACCCGUAAUGGACCUUUUAUAAGUGAAAGAAUUUUAAAACUGAAGGCUGUGAUAUGACAGUGAUUAAAUUAUACUAGAUAUAGGAACAAUUACAGUUAGUGUUUCUCUCAUCAUCUCAAAUUUAUGUUUGAGAUAUCUGUAUUAAAGAUGAAUAUUUAUGUUAUAUUUGUACUACUUGUUAUUAAAACAUUGAUCUCAAAUUGAUACACAAUUUUUUGCAAUUAAAAGUCAGUAUUUGUUAUCCUAAAUGACGUUAAAACACUUUGAAGUCAGUAUGAUAUGUGAUUUUCACCAUCAAAAGACGAUGAUAUAACCUGCUUUUCUGGAAUUAUCAAAGUUUAUAUAGACAGUGAAUUCAUUUAAACAUUUAUUUCAUGUAUAUUUGUUCUGCCUCUAAAGAUUGAAAAGGCGAAAGUUGUGAAAUUCUGUUCAUUAAUAUUUGAGCUAUUUUUCAAGAUUUUAUAUUUUCAGAAGAACCAAAAGUACCAAUCUUUUUUUAUGAUGCUAUCUUCAGAUCAUUAUAAUUAAAAAACAUUUAGGAUAAGAAUAAUAGUAUUAUAUAAUAUAUAGGUGCUUAUUUAAAUAUAUUGCAUGUAUAUUUUUAUACAUAUUUUUGUGUAAAAAAUAAAUACAUAAACCUCAAUCAUAUAUUUAUUAUGUUAUAUUUA
rnacentral:misc_RNA from 1 species